UACGUAGGGGCUAGCGUUGUCCGGAUUUAUUGGGCGUAAAGAGCGUGUAGGCGGCCAGGUAGGUCUGCUGUGAAAACUCGAGGCUCAACCUCGAGACGUCGGCGGAAACCAUCUGGCUAGAGUCCGGAAGAGGAGAGUGGAAUUCCUGGUGUAGCGGUGAAAUGCGCAGAUAUCAGGAAGAACACCCGUGGCGAAGGCGGCUCUCUGGGACGGUACUGACGCGAGACGCGAAAGCGUGGGGAGCGAACAGG
rnacentral:rRNA from 1 species